rnacentral:rRNA from 1 species
AACGCGAAGAACCUUACCAAGGCUUGACAUAUAGCGGAAAGUGGCAGAGAUGUCAUGUCCGCAAGGGCGCUAUUCAGGUGGUGCAUGGUUGUCGUCAGCUCGUGUCGUGAGAUGUUGGGUUAAGUCCCGCAACGAGCGCAACCCUCGUUUUGUGUUACCAGCAUUCAGUUGGGGACUCACAGGAGACUGCCGGGGUUAACUCGGAGGAAGGUGGGGAUGACGUCAAAUCAUCAUGCCCCUUAUGUCUUGGGCUGCACGCAUGCUACAAUGGCCGGUACAAAGUGCUGCGAAAUCGUAAGAUUUAGCGAAUCACAUCAAGCCGGUCUCAGUUCGGAUUGAGGUCUGCAACUCGACCUCAUGAAGUUGGAGUUGCUAGUAAUCGUAGAUCAGCAACGCUACGGUGAAUACGUUCCCGGGUCUUGUACACACCG